rnacentral:siRNA from 1 species
UGCGGUUGCAAGGACUACUC